GACGAACCGUGCGAACGUUAUUCGGAAUCACUGGGCUUAAAGCGCGUGUAGGCGGGGAGGCACGUCCGACGUUGAAAUCCCCCCGGCUCAACCGGGGAACUGGCGCGGAUACGACCUUCCUGGAGGGGCGUAGGGGGACCUGGAACUUCCGGUGGAGCGGUGAAAUGCGUUGAGAUCGGAAGGAACGCCCGUGGCGAAAGCGAGGUCCUGGACGCCUACUGACGCUGAGACGCGAAAGCCAGGGGAGCGAACGGG
rnacentral:rRNA from 1 species